GAGCAUGUUGUUUUCUUCACCUUAUAUGGAGCUUCCUUAACAGGUUCCUGGUGCUGGUUCCAGCAGAAUAGACACAGAGAUGCAUGGCCUAACUCCCACUCCCUCUUCAGGACUGAGCCACGCAGCCCCCCAUCUGCCAGAAGUGUUAGCUGUUGACGGCUCACAGCUGAGUCCCUCUCCAGGCAUUGCUGAAAAGAGCCACCUUGCUCUAGGAUGUGCCCCCACCCUGGGGGCAGCAUACAUUCCAAGUGAUUAGUCCAUAGUGUGGUACAAAGGUUGUACCCAUCUUGCCUGAAUUCAGGAUCUCUUGGAAAACCACCCCAGCUCUGCAGCUCCUGGUGGGGUGCUGAGGCCUCUGCUGCAGCUGCAUCGCAGUUUACUUUCCCCUCUGCCUAGUCCUGCUGCCUUCACUCCCCAACAGAUCACCCGCUCUGAACAUGCCAUCUACUGUGGAAAUCUUCAAUCUUUAAUUAAUUUUUCCUGUUACAGGAAGAUUAAGUCUAAAAGGGUAUCUCCCCUAGUUGAUCCAGAACUAAAUAACAUUGUUUUCAGUACUUCCAGUAACUUGCUUACACUCUUACUUCUAAAGCAUUGAAUGUAUCAUCUUAUGUGCUUGUCACCCCCAGCUUGUGUCAUAGGAGAAAGUAUACGGAGAUCAGGUACAACUUCAGUUCAACAGCUUAUGAGCUAUUGGAUCAGUCUCCUUAUUAAUCUCUCAGAGCCUCAAUUUCCUUGUUUAAAAUGGGGGCAAUACCUACCUUAAGGAAUUUCUUGAGGAUCAAAAGAAACCCUAGUAACAAAGCCUUGAACCAUGUCUGACUUAUAGUAUAUAUUCUAACUGCAAGUUCUUUUCAUGUCUUGUCCAUGAAUUCUUCAUUCAUUCAUUCAUUCAUUCAUCCAACAACCAAGCAUUCACUGAUGCUCCAAUUGUGCAAGACACUGUUUUAGGCCUUGAGAAUACAAACUGCACAAGCAGGACAAUGUAACCAGUGUUAUGCAGGGUCUGGUCUAGUGGGAGGAGAAGACAGUGACCAUGGCCCAUGAUGAGUGACAGAAUGAAAAGUAAUCAGGAAGAUAUGAUAGGAAAUACAGGGAGAAUGGGAGAGUCUGCUUUAUGUUGCAUAAUCAGAGGGCAGCUCUGGACAGGCAAAAUUUGAGCUGAGACCUAAAUGACAAGGAGUGAAGCCAAUGGAACAUCUGAAAGAAUAGUUUUCUAGAAAGAGAGCCCAGCUAGUGUGAGCCCUAAAGUAGGUAGAAAAUGGGCUUGGAGGGUUUUAUAUGAGGAGCAGCGGGAAGUAGGCAGAGGCCUGGUCAUUGUAGGUCAUGUUGGCUAGAGUAAAGAGCUUGUGUUUGAUUCUCAGGGCAAUGAAGAGCCUUUGGAGAAUUUAAAGCAAAGUGGGGAGGGGGAACAAGAGCUGAUUUACAUUAUUCUGAACAGCACCAGGAGGGAUAGUACUGGAUAAUAAGAGUGGUAAAAGGAGACCAUUUAGGAGGUUAUAGCAAUUGUCCAGGGUGGCCUGGCCUGCCACGGUAGCCACAGAGACGGUGAGAGGUGAGGAGGUGCCAGGUACCGUCAUGGGAGACAUAAUGACAUUCGAUCAAUGCUGAACUACAUAUAUGACGGUGGUACCAUGAGAUUAUAAUGGAGCUGAAAAAUUCCCAUCACCUAGUGACCUCGUAGCUGCUGGAACAUUGCAGGGCAAUGCAUACACACAUGUAUGUGGUGAUAGUGGUGCACACAAACCUACUAUGCUGCCAGUCCUAUAAAAGUGUAGCACACAGGAUUAUGUACAGUACAUAACACUUGAUAAUGAUAACAAAUGACUAGGUUACUGGUUUAUGCAUUUACCAUACUAUACUUUUAUCGUUAUUUUAGAGAGUACUCCCUCUACUUAUUUAAUAAAUAUAGUUAACUGUAAAACAGCCUCAGGCAGGUCGUUCAGGAGGUAUUCUAAAGAAGGCAUUACUAUCACAGGAGAUGACAACUCCAUGCGUGUUAUUGCCCCUGAAGACCUUUCAGUGGGAUACAGUGUGGAGGUGGAAGACAGUGAUACUGAUGAUCCUGACCCUGUGUAGACCUAUGCUAAUGUGUGCUUGUGUCUUAGUUUUUCACAAAAAAGGUUUAAAAAUAAAAAUACAAAAGAAUAAAAAAGGUUAUAGAAUAAGGAUAUAAAGAAAGAAAAUACUUUUGUACAGCUGUAUAAGUGUUUGUGUUUUAAAUUAAGUGUUAUUACAAAGG
ensembl:lncRNA MYOSLID myocardin-induced smooth muscle lncRNA, inducer of differentiation